UACGUAGGGGGCAAGCGUUGUUCGGAAUUACUGGGCGUAAAGGGCGCGUAGGCGGCAGGCCAAGUCGGGAGUGAAAGCCCGGGGCUCAACCCCGGAAUGUCUUUCGAAACUGGCCAGCUGGAGUGCGGAAGAGGCAACUGGAAUUCCCAGUGUAGCGGUGAAAUGCGUAGAUAUUGGGAAGAACACCCGAGGCGAAGGCGGGUUGCUGGGCCGACACUGACGCUGAGGCGCGAAAGCCAGGGGAGCAAACGGG
rnacentral:rRNA from 1 species